rnacentral:rRNA from 1 species
AAAUAGAUACCCUGGUAGUCCACGCCGUAAACGAUGAGUGCUAAGUGUUAGAGGGUUUCCGCCCUUUAGUGCUGCAGCAAACGCAUUAAGCACUCCGCCUGGGGAGUACGGCCGCAAGGCUGAAGCUCAAAGGAAUUGACGGGGGCCCGCACAAGCGGUGGAGCAUGUGGUUUAAUUCAAAGCAACGCGAAGAACCUUACCAGGUCUUGACAUCUCCUGACAACCCUAGAGAUAGGGCGUUCCCCUUCGGGGGACAGGAUGACAGGUGGUGCAUGGUUGUCGUCAGCUCGUGUCGUGAGAUGUUGGGUUAAGUCCCGCAACGAGCGCAACCCUUGAUCUUAGUUGCCAGCAUUCAGUUGGGCACUCUAAGGUGACUGCCGGUGACAAACCGGAGGAAGGUGGGGAUGACGUCAAAUCAUCAUGCCCCUUAUGACCUGGGCUACACACGUGCUACAAUGGAUGGUACAAAGGGCUGCAAGACCGCGAGGUUAAGCGAAUCCCAUAAAACCAUUCUCAGUUCGGAUUGC